AUGGGCUAGUGCCCACCUUGACCAUCUCAUCUGAACCUAAGAAAAACUACUGUGAUGGUUUGUUCGAGCUUGGCCAGGGAAUGACACUCUUUGGAGGUGUGGCCUUGUUGGGCAAGCCCUGUGCUGUCUCUGUGAUCGUCUUUGUUGCUUUUGGAAAAGGACAUGUUGGAAAGAGGACCUUUGAAUCAAAGCCAAGGCUGUGGCUCCGGAGGCCAGAGGACACACUUUGAAACUGAGAUAGAAGAAUUUGCCUGAAGUCAUUCGAUGGGCAGGUGGCUGGAGCAGCAGCUGAGAGCUCGUCUUGAUGUGCAAGCAGGAGGCAGAGAGCAUGCUGGGAAUGACAUGAGUCUUUUGAAACCUCAAGCCUGCCCCCAAUGUCAUACUUCCUCUAACAGGACCACAUCUCCUUAC